UCUCGGCCUUUUGGCUAAGAUCAAGUGUAGUAUCUGUUCUUAUCAGUUUCAGAUCAGAUAAUUGCUACUUGUGACGA
ensembl:snRNA U2 U2 spliceosomal RNA